AACCGUGUUUAAGGGUACAGCACAGGAGAGACAAAAAGAAUGAAUUCCUUGUUCUACUGUUUUCCCCUUAUCAGUGCUGCGCUUGACUAGUCUUAU
ensembl:misc_RNA Y_RNA Y RNA